UACGAAGGGGGCGAGCGUUGUUCGGAAUCACUGGGCGUAAAGGGCGCGUAGGCGGCCCUCCUUGUCGCGUGUGAAAGCCCCGGGCUCAACCUGGGAACGGCGCGCGAGACGGGGGGGCUGGAGUUCGGGAGAGGAGCGUGGAAUUCCCAGUGUAGAGGUGAAAUUCGUAGAUAUUGGGAAGAACACCGGUGGCGAAGGCGGCGCUCUGGACAGUUCCUGACGCUGAGGCACGAAGGCCAGGGGAGCAAACGGG
rnacentral:rRNA from 1 species